ensembl:lncRNA
ACAAUGCCAAGGCGCUCCAUGGCUGCAAACUCUUCCCGAGCGACGGACAGUUUCGCGGGGUCGAGGCGGCGCGCGUGCGCGAACACCGGGGGCUCGACCGUGGGAAUAUAAUGCUCAACCCCAUGCUUCGUUACCGUGCUAGAGAAAUUAGGGACAGACAGCGAUGGAAACUCUAAAAGCAAACGCUGAAAAGCAUCCCCGGAGGUCACUACAUUAGCCCGAAUCAGGGGCUCGGCGGCCCGAGUAAAACAGGGUAGCGAAGAAAACGAGAGAGCAUCUAUUAAACGUCUGUUAGCAACAUCGACAAGUAGUCCAUGAGCACAUGUCACGGGGUGGAGAGAGACAAGUUACCUAGGUUUUUUGUUGUGCAUGUUUUUGUUGUGUUUUAUCUUUUUAAUGUUUUAAUAUUGUACAUUGGUGUCACGGGAACCCACAAGAGCCUGGAGUGACACGGAGGCUUAAGAGAUGAGGUCUGAGAGGCCUGACGUGAGGCUUCAGAGUGAAGUCACAGAGGCGUGACACAUGGGGCUCGAGAGACGGGCCGGAGUGUGUGUGUCAGUCCUGUAGUCUUGCACUCGAGGAGUCUGGCAGUCUUGGAGCCUUGACUGUUGGAGCUUGGUGUUCCAGGGGAGGACGGACAGCACCAGCGACUAGGGACGCGGAGCGAACAGUCGGACGGCAGUAGCAACAAGAGCCCAGCUUGUGCACUGCGGGAGAGCAGAGGCGGCGAGACAGCUGGUGGCGAGACAGCUCCGGCGGGCGGAGUUGAGAGCUCUGCCCACCCGGGGUAAGUCUUCGACUUAUUUCCUUUUUACGAAUGAAAACUGCCUGAAAAGAAUAGUGACUGCCGCUCCCUCCCUUUCUUCAGCGUACCGGGACGCGGAAUGCAGGGAGGAAGGCGAGGACUCCGCUGGGUUUCCCUUUUACACCAUUUCGCUGGAUUUCUUAGUUCUUUGUGACUUUUAUACCGUGGUGGAUGCCACUGGACUUUUAAUGUUGUGUUUUAUUGAUUUUUAUUGUGUUAC